UACAGAGGUCUCGAGCGUUAGGCGGAAUCACUGGGCUUAAAGCGUGUGUAGGCGGAUCGUUAAGUACCUUGUGAAAUCCCACGGCUUAACCGUGGAACUGCUUGGUAUACUGGCGGUCUUGAGCCAGCUAGGGGCUACCGGAACAAAUGGUGGAGCGGUGAAAUGCGUAGAUAUCAUUUGGAACGCCGGUGGCGAAAGCGCUCGACUGGACCUCUUCUGACGCUGAGGCGCGAAAGCCAGGGGAGCAAACGGG
rnacentral:rRNA from 1 species